CUCUGACCCUCCCCCAUUCAUGCUCUGUCUCUCUUUGGCCAUGGCCCUUGAAGUGUGUCACCUUUCCAGCUAGUGAUUCGCUCAGCACCCUGCCCGAGCCAGUGGGCUCAGCUCAGGUUUCGCCUCGCUCGGGAUACAACGUGG